rnacentral:rRNA from 1 species
ACGGACCCUUCGGGGUGAGUGGCGGACGGGUGAGUAUCGCGUAGGGAUCUAUCCAUGGGUGGGGGAUAACAUCGGGAAACUGGUGCUAAUACCGCAUGAUACCUGAGGGUCAAAGGCGCAAGUCGCCUGUGGAGGAGCCUGCGUUCGAUUAGCUUGUUGGUGGGGUAAAGGCCUACCAAGGCGAUGAUCGAUAGCUGGUCUGAGAGGAUGAUCAGCCACACUGGGACUGAGACACGGCCCAG